GAUGAACGCUGGCGGCGUGCCUAAUACAUGCAAGUCGAGCGAACAGAUAAGGAGCUUGCUCCUUUGAAGUUAGCGGCGGACGGGUGAGUAACACGUGGGUAACCUACCUAUAAGACUGGGAUAACUUCGGGAAACCGGAGCUAAUACCGGAUAACAUUUAGAACCGCAUGGUUCUAAAGUGAAAGAUGGUUUUGCUAUCACUUAUAGAUGGACCCGCGCCGUAUUAGCUAGUUGGUAAGGUAACGGCUUACCAAGGCGACGAUACGUAGCCGACCUGAGAGGGUGAUCGGCCACACUGGAACUGAGACACGGUCCAGACUCCUACGGGAGGCAGCAGUAGGGAAUCUUCCGCAAUGGGCGAAAGCCUGACGGAGUAACGCCGCGUGAGUGAUGAAGGGUUUCGGCUCGUAAAACUCUGUUAUUAGGGAAGAACAAAUGUGUAAGUAACUGUGCACAUCUUGACGGUACCUAAUCAGAAAGCCACGGCUAACUACGUG
rnacentral:rRNA from 1 species